UACGUAGGGUGCGUGCGUUGUCCGGAAUUAUUGGGCGUAAAGAGCUUGUAGGCGGUUUGUCGCGUCUGCCGUGAAAAUUCGAGGCUCAACCUCGAACUUGCGGUGGGUACGGGCAGACUAGAGUGUGGUAGGGGAGACUGGAAUUCCUGGUGUAGCGGUGAAAUGCGCAGAUAUCAGGAAGAACACCGAUGGCGAAGGCAGUGGGCUGGGCCGGUACUGACGCUGAGGAGCGAAAGCGUGGGGAGCGAACAGG
rnacentral:rRNA from 1 species